UACGGAGGGGGCUAGCGUUAUUCGGAAUUAUUGGGCGUAAAGGGCGCGCAGGCGGCCGAGCAAGUCGAGUGUGAAAUCCCCGGGCUUAACUUGGGAAUUGCGCUCGAAACUACCUGGCUUGAGUGUGGCAGAGGAAGGUGGAAUUCCACGUGUAGCGGUGAAAUGCGCAGAUAUCAGGAGGAACACCAGUGGCGAAGGCGAGUCCCUGGGCCGUAACUGACGCUGAGGAGCGAAAGCGUGGGGAGCGAACAGG
rnacentral:rRNA from 1 species